UUGUUGGUGAGGUAAAAGCUUACCAAGGCUUCGAUCAGUAGCUGGUCUGAGAGGACGACCAGCCACACUGGGACUGAGACACGGCCCAGACUCCUACGGGAGGCAGCAGUGGGGAAUUUUGGACAAUGGGGGCAACCCUGAUCCAGCCAUGCCGCGUGAGUGAAGAAGGCCUUCGGGUUGUAAAGCUCUUUCAGCCGGAACGAAACGGUUACGGAUAACACCCGUGACUACUGACGGUACCGGAAGAAGAAGCACCGGCUAACUACGUGCCAGCAGCCGCGGUAAUACGUAGGGUGCGAGCGUUAAUCGGAAUUACUGGGCGUAAAGCGUGCGCAGGUGGUUUUGUAAGUCAGAUGUGAAAGCCCCGGGCUCAACCUGGGAACUGCGUUUGAAACUACAAGACUAGAGUGUGGCAGAGGGGGGUGGAAUUCCGCGUGUAGCAGUGAAAUGCGUAGAGAUGUGGAGGAACACCGAUGGCGAAGGCAGCCCCCUGGGUCAACACUGACGCUCAGGCACGAAAGCAUGGGGAGCAAACAGGAUUAGAUACCCUGGUAGUCCAUGCCCUAAACGAUGUCAACUAGUUGUCGGGCCUUUACGGGCUUGGUAACGUAGCUAACGCGUGAAGUUGACCGCCUGGGGAGUACGAUCGCAAGAUUAAAACUCAAAUGAAUUGACGGGGACCCGCACAAGCGGUGGAUUAUGUGGAUUAAUUCGAUGCAACGCGAAAAACCUUACCUACCCUUGACAUGUAUCGAAGCCCGCAGAAAAGCGGGGGUGCCCGAAAGGGAACGAUAACACAGGUGCUGCAUGGCUGUCGUCAGCUCGUGUCGUGAGAUGUUGGGUUAAGUCCCGCAACGAGCGCAACCCUUGUCAUUAAUUGCCAUCAUUUAGUUGGGCACUUUAAUGAGACUGCCGG
rnacentral:rRNA from 1 species